ACCCCCACCCUUCCACCAUAUUGUGAAGGACGUAAACAAGAGGAGCGGAGACAAACACAGAGAUUGUUGGAUUUCACUGAGAGAACAGUGACAGCAGAGAUGGAGAGAGCGAUGGAGAGGAACAACCAGAACCGGGGAGAGAUGAUGGCAGCUCAGAGAGAGAGGAUGAGGAGACGGCACAAGAGAGCGGAGAUGAUGAGGAUGGUGUGGAUGCAGAUUCUGAUGAGGCUGAGCAUGACGCAGUUGGAGGAAGAAAGCACAAGGGGAAAGAUAAUUGGAGGAAGAAUGAGGUAAAAAGAAUAAUAAUGGGACAGCCGUAUGUCGGUAGAAACAAGAAGGGAGAAGUCACCAAGGACCCCCGGGGAAUGGGACCACGUUCCACGUCCGCCCAGGGAUCAAACCCAGUGACCCCACUGUCCACGAUGUCAGAGCCAUCAGGUAACUAAAGUAUCAAUCUAAAAAAAAGUCUCUCUCACCAGUCCAUGUCAAAAGUCAUGAUGUUGCACUUUUACUUUUCAUUAAAUAGAAUAGAAUGGAAUAGAAAAUGCUUUGUCUACCUUUUGUGUACAGAAGGAAGACAUUUAUCUUCGUUUUGUGUAACAUUUAAAAACACAUUUACAUAAAACA